CAGCCCACUCCUCUCUUGCUGUGACUGUAGGGGUUCCUGGCAUUGUGAUUUAAUGAUUAAAUAAAAGUGAAAAAUCACAUUGCCAGGGAUUACCACAGAGUCACAGGCACAGGCAGCUGCUCGCG
rnacentral:pre_miRNA from 17 species